CGGGGUGAGUAAUGUAUGGGGAUCUGCCUGAUGGCGGGGGAUAACUACUGGAAACGGUAGCUAAUACCGCAUAAUGUCUACGGACCAAAGCGGGGGGGCCUCCGGGCCUCGCGCCAUCAGAUGAACCCAUAUGGGAUUAGCUAGUAGGUAAGGUAACGGCUUACCUAGGCGACGAUCCCUAGCUGGUCUGAGAGGAUGAUCAGCCACACUGGGACUGAGACACGGCCCAG
rnacentral:rRNA from 1 species